rnacentral:rRNA from 1 species
UUGUCCGGUUGGUUCAAUUUCAUAGUGUUUCGGUGGUCAUUGCGUUAGGGAAACGCCCGGUUACAUUCCGAACCCGGAAGCUAAGCCUUUCAGCGCCGAUGGUACUGCAGGGGGGACCCUGUGGGAGAGUAGGACGCCGCCGAAC